rnacentral:rRNA from 1 species
CCUACGGGCGGCAGCAGUAGGGAAUAUUCCACAAUGGGGGAAACCCUGAUGCAGCAACGCCGCGUGAGCGAUGAAGUAUUUCGGUAUGUAAAGCUCUAUCAUCAGGGAAGAAAAUGACGGUACCUGACUAAGAAGCCCCGGCUAACUACGUACCAGCAGCCGCGGGAAUACGUAGGGGGCAAGCGUUCUCCGGAUUUACUGGGGGUAAAGGGAGCGUAGACGGCGGUGCAAGCCAGAUGUGAAAGCCCGGGGCUUAACCCUGGGACUGCAUUUGAAACUGUGCUGUUAGAGUGUCGGAGAGGUAGGUGGAAUUCUUAGUGUAGCGGUGAAAUGCGUAGAGAUUAGGAGGAACACCAGUGGCGAAGGCGGCCUGCUGGACGAUGACUGACGUUGAGGCGCGAAAGCGUGGGGAGCAAACAGGAUUAGAUACACGAGUAGUC